rnacentral:rRNA from 1 species
ACGAACGCUGGCGGCGUGCUUAACACAUGCAAGUCGAACGGUGAAGCGCCUUCCUUUUUGGUGGGUGUGGAUGAGUGGCGAACGGGUGAGUAACACGUGAGUAACCUGCCCCCUUCUUCUGGAUAACCGCAUGAAAGUGUGGCUAAUACGGGAUAUUCUGGGUCUGUCGCAUGAUGGGUCUGGGAAAGAUAUUGUUUCGGUGGGGGAUGGGCUCGCGGCCUAUCAGCUUGUUGGUGGGGUGAUGGCCUACCAAGGCGGUGACGGGUAGCCGGCCUGAGAGGGUGGACGGUCACACUGGGACUGAGACACGGCCCAGACUCGUACGGGAGGCAGCAGUGGGGAAUAUUGCACAAUGGGCGCAAGCCUGAUGCAGCGACGCCGCGUGAGGGAUGGAGGCCUGCGGGUUGUGAACCUCUUUCGCCAGUGAAGCAGGCCUGCCUCGUUUGUGGGUGGGUUGACGGUAGCUGGAUAAGAAGCGCCGGCUAACUACGUG